rnacentral:ncRNA from 1 species
CGUGUACAGACUGAACAGGCGCGGCGUAAGGCCGCAGCCGGGCCCGUGGCAGUGGAGAAGAUCCGCAGGACAGCA